rnacentral:lncRNA from 1 species
UUUUAUGGAAAUAUAGCGUUAACAUUACUGUUUUAAAGAAAAAAAGAAGUCUAAUAGUUAGGUAAAUUUCAAAACGCCAUUACUUUGUGAUCGUAGCCCGAUGAGAAAACUCCAUAAGAUUUUUGGUAAAGUGCAACUUAUAUCAUAUAUUUUUUUGUGUCUUCUUUGAAAGCAAAAAUUGAACCCAUUACAACUAAAUAAAAAUUGAUUGUUCUUUACUUGAAUCAGAAAGAUAUUGUUCUUAAUCUUUUCUGAAUCAGUUUUGGUUUUCUUUGGGUGAAUAGCAGCAUCAACAUUCGUUUUGGAUUGAGCUUGGAUUUUGAUUUAAUCACCUAAUUUAUAUUGUUGUAUAUUUGGUGAUAUUACACUCUCUGUAAGCUGACCAAACUAGGUUUGGCAGCUAGUGCUAGAGAGGAACGAAGAGAAGGGAAAAACAAUAACCCCCAAUUUGUUUUUGUUCUCUUCUUAGCUAGAUUUGGGGACAAAAAUCGUAUACCUGCUUUAGAGAGUUAUUUAAUCAUUGCAUUUAGUUGAUGGUGGAAUUUAAUUCGUGA